AUGGGUCAUGACCCUCCUCUCCGUGAUACAAGACCAUGUUUAGCAUCUGAAGAGUCAUGUUAUUUGAGUUCCGACGACCCCAACAUAAAACCACAAGUAAAACCUCAAAAAUCACUUGCUUCGUAAAUUUCUCCAUCGGUUCAAUGAAUUAUUCGGGAAAUCUUUUGGUUAUAUGCAGCCAAGCCAUCGAUGAGUUAACAAUAAACAAAGAUCCACUUCGAGGAAAGGAACUUUCGGAAUUCAUGGAUCCAUUCCCAUUAACAAACAACGCAAAAACGUGA
rnacentral:lncRNA from 1 species